CCAACACACUGGGAAACCAACUAAAUUUUGAAGGAACUUUGGCUCCCACUGCCUGAAAAAUCUUAAGGUGUGGCUAAAGGAAAGACCAGAGAACCCAGAGAAUUUCACCUAGCAAAGCACUAAGGAGAAUGUACCUAUAUUCCCAACUGAGAAGAGGCAGCUUGAAAGUGUUGGCUGAUUAGAAAAGGACUACACUAUGGAUAAUGUACAUCCACUAUGACACACUACGGGGAGAACAGAGGAAUAUCCCCUGGAGGAACCAAC
rnacentral:lncRNA from 1 species